GAUGAACGCUGGCGGCGUGCCUAAUACAUGCAAGUCGAGCGAACAGACGAGGAUCUUGCUCCUCUGACGUUAGCGGCGGACGGGUGAGUCACACGUGGAUAACCUACCUAUCAGACUGGUAUAACCUCGAGAAACCGGCUCUAAUACCGGAUAAUCUAUUGCACCGCAGGGGUCAUUAGUGAGAGACGGUUGUGCUGUCUCUUAUAGAUGCAUACGCGCCGCUUUAGCUAGUUGGGAAGGUCACGGCUUAUCACGGCGACGAUGCGUAGCCGACCGGAGAGAGUGAUAGCCCGCCAGGGAGGGGGGACAGGGACCAUAGUCCUACGGGAGGGAGCAGUAGGGAACCUUCCGCAAAGGGGGAAAGCCUGACGCAGCAGCGGCGCGUGAGUGAUGAAGGUCUUCGGAUCGUGAAACUCGGUUAUGGGGUAAGAACAAAUGUGUAAGUAACUAUGCACGGAUUGACGGUACCUGAUCAGAAAGCCACGGCUAACUACGUG
rnacentral:rRNA from 1 species